AGAGUUUGAUCCUGGCUCAGAUUGAACGCUGGCGGCAGGCCUAACACAUGCAAGUCGAGCGGAAACGAUACCAGCUUGCUGGUAGGCGUCGAGCGGCGGACGGGUGAGUAAUACUUAGGAAUCUACCUAGUAGUGGGGGAUAGCUCGGGGAAACUCGAAUUAAUACCGCAUACGACCUACGGGAGAAAGGGGGCAGUCUACUGCUCUCGCUAUUAGAUGAGCCUAAGUCGGAUUAGCUAGAUGGUGGGGUAAAGGCCUACCAUGGCGACGAUCUGUAGCUGGUCUGAGAGGAUGAACAGCCACACCGGGACUGAGACACGGCCCGGGCUCCUACGGGAGGCAGCAGUGGGGAAUAUUGGACAAUGGGGGAAACCCUGAUCCAGCCAUGCCGCGUGUGUGAAGAAGGCCUUUUGGUUGUAAAGCACUUUAAGCAGUGAAGAAGACUCCUCGAUUAAUACCCGUGGACGAUGACAUUAGCUGCAGAAUAAGCACCGGCUAACUCUGUGCCAGCAGCCGCGGUAAUACAGAGGGUGCAAGCGUUAAUCGGAAUUACUGGGCGUAAAGCGAGCGAAGGUGGCUUGAUAAGUCAGAUGUGAAAUCCCCGGGCUUAACCUGGGAACUGCAUCUGAAACUGUUAGGCUAGAGUAGGUGAGAGGAAGGUAGAAUUCCAGGUGUAGCGGUGAAAUGCGUAGAGAUCUGGAGGAAUACCGAUGGCGAAGGCAGCCUUCUGGCAUCAUACUGACACUGAGGCUCGAAAGCGUGGGUAGCAAACAGGAUUAGAUACCCUGGUAGUCCACGCCGUAAACGAUGUCUACUAGUCGUUGGGUCCCUUGAGGACUUAGUGACGCAGCUAACGCAAUGAGUAGACCGCCUGGGGAGUACGGCCGCAAGUUAAAACUCAAAUGAAUUGACGGGGGCCGCACAGCGGUGGAGCAUGGUGGUUUAAUUCGAUGCAACCGCGAAGAACCUUACCUGGUCUUG
rnacentral:rRNA from 1 species